AGAGUUUGAUCCUGGCUCAGGAUGAACGCUAGCGGCAGGCUUAACACAUGCAAGUCGAGGGGUAACGGGGAAGCUUGCUUCCGCCGACGACCGGCGCACGGGUGCGUAACGCGUAUACAAUCUACCUUGUACUGGGGUAUAGCCUUUAGAAAUGAAGAUUAACCCCCCAUAGUCUCUUAGAGUGGCAUCACUUCUAGAGUAAAGGUUACGGUAUAAGAUGAGUAUGCGUUCUAUUAGUUUGUUGGUGUGGUAACGGCACACCAAGACUACGAUAGAUAGGGGCCCUGAGAGGGGGAUCCCCCACACUGGUACUGAGACACGGACCAGACUCCUACGGGAGGCAGCAGUGAGGAAUAUUGGACAAUGGAGGCAACUCUGAUCCAGCCAUGCCGCGUGCAGGAAGACUGCCCUAUGGGUUGUAAACUGCUUUUAUACAGGAAGAAACACCUCUACGUGUAGAGGCUUGACGGUACUGUAAGAAUAAGGAUCGGCUAACUCCGUGCCAGCAGCCGCGGUAAUACGGAGGAUCCAAGCGUUAUCCGGAAUCAUUGGGUUUAAAGGGUCCGUAGGUGGAUAAUUAAGUCAGAGGUGAAAUCUUGCAGCUCAACUGUAAAAUUGCCUUUGAAACUGGUUAUCUUGAGUUAUUAUGAAGUAGUUAGAAUAUGUAGUGUAGCGGUGAAAUGCAUAGAUAUUACAUAGAAUACCAAUUGCGAAGGCAGAUUACUAAUAAUCAACUGACACUGAUGGACGAAAGCGUGGGUAGCGAACAGGAUUAGAUACCCUGGUAGUCCACGCCGUAAACGAUGGUUACUAGCUGUUUGGACUUCGGUCUGAGUGGCUAAGCGAAAGUGAUAAGUAACCCACCUGGGGAGUACGUUCGCAAGAAUGAAACUCAAAGGAAUUGACGGGGGCCCGCACAAGCGGUGGAGCAUGUGGUUUAAUUCGAUGAUACGCGAGGAACCUUACCAGGGCUUAAAUGUAAGUUGCAUUAGUUAGAGAUAGCUAUUUCUUCGGACCACUUACAAGGUGCUGCAUGGUUGUCGUCAGCUCGUGCCGUGAGGUGUCAGGUUAAGUCCUAUAACGAGCGCAACCCCUGUUGUUAGUUGCCAGCGAGUCAUGUCGGGAACUCUAGCAAGACUGCCAGUGCAAACUGUGAGGAAGGUGGGGAUGACGUCAAAUCAUCACGGCCCUUACGUCCUGGGCUACACACGUGCUACAAUGGUAGGUACAGAGAGCAGCCACUGCGCGAGCAGGAGCGAAUCUAUAAAACCUAUCACAGUUCGGAUCGGAGUCUGCAACUCGACUCCGUGAAGCUGGAAUCGCUAGUAAUCGGAUAUCAGCCAUGAUCCGGUGAAUACGUUCCCGGGCCUUGUACACACCGCCCGUCAAGCCAUGGAAGUUGGAAGUGCCUGAAGUCCGUCACCGUAAGGAGCGGCCUAGGGUAAAGUCGAUAACUAGGGCUAAGUCGUAACAAGGUAAAUCACUAGU
rnacentral:rRNA from 1 species